rnacentral:rRNA from 1 species
UACAGAGGUCUCAAGCGUUGUUCGGAUUCAUUGGGCGUAAAGGGUGCGUAGGCGGCGCGGUAAGUCGGGUGUGAAAUCUCGGAGCUUAACUCCGAAACUGCAUUCGAUACUGCCGUGCUUGAGGACUGGAGAGGAGACUGGAAUUUACGGUGUAGCGGUGAAAUGCGUAGAUAUCAAGAGGAACACCUGCGGCGAAGGCGGGUUGCUGGGCUGACACUGACGCUGAGGCGCGAAAGCUAGGGGAGCGAACGGG